UCCGUAGGUGAACCUGCGGAAGGAUCAUUACCGAGUUGAUUCGGGCUCCGUCCCGAUCCUCCCACCCUUUGUAUACCUACCUCUGUUGCUUUGGCGGGCCGCGGUCUUCCGCGGCCGCCCCCCGAUUUUGGGGGGUGGCUAGUGCCCGCCAGAGGACUAUCAAACUCCAGUCAGUAAACGUUGCAGUCUGAAAAAAAUAUUAAAUAAACUAAAACUUUCAACAACGGAUCUCUUGGUUCUGGCAUCGAUGAAGAACGCAGCGAAAUGCGAUAAGUAAUGUGAAUUGCAGAAUUCAGUGAAUCAUCGAAUCUUUGAACGCACAUUGCGCCCCUUGGUAUUCCGGGGGGCAUGCCUGUUCGAGCGUCAUUUCAACCCUCAAGCUCUGCUUGGUAUUGGGCACCGUCCUUUGCGGGCGCGCCUCAAAGACCUCGGCGGUGGCGUCUUGCCUCAAGCGUAGUAGAAUACACCUCGCUUCGGAGCGUAAGGCGUCGCCCGCCGGACGAACCUUCUGAACUUUUCUCAAGGUUGACCUCGGAUCAGGUAGGGAUACCCGCUGAACUUAAGCAUAUCAAUAAGCGGAGGA
rnacentral:rRNA from 1 species